AACAGCACUAGGACUAACACACAGAAGAGGACCGGAAGACAUCCUGACCCCUCGUUUACCACUUGUUUUGGGGUCUGUGAAGAUGACUGCCCCACUGAUCAGUCUCUGUCACCAACAUCCUCAGUGUCCAAGAUCUUCAGGAUCAUUGCAUGAGUGCAUGAGGAAUGGGAGAAAGGACCAGAGUGGAUAGAAUUGGUCAAGGUGGAGAAAAAAUCCUGAAGUCCUCUGAAGCUAGAAUGACAUUUACUUCUGAAAACACUGUAUUAUUGCUGACGAGAAUUCUGCUG